rnacentral:rRNA from 1 species
GACGGAGGGUGCUAGCGUUGUUCGGAAUCACUGGGCGUAAAGGGCGCGUAGGCGGCCUUGCAAGUCGGUUGGUGAAAGCCCGGGGCUCAACCCCGGAGGUGCGGCCGAGACUGCAGGGCUGGAGGCCGGAAGAGGAGGGUGGAAUACCCAGUGUAGAGGUGAAAUUCGUAGAUAUUGGGUGGAACACCGGUGGCGAAAGCGGCUCUCUGGUCCGGACCUGACGCUGAGGCGCGAAAGCGUGGGGAUCAAACAGG